rnacentral:tRNA from 1 species
GGCUGGGUAGCUCAGUUGGUUAGAGCACACGACUCAUAAUCGUGGGGUCGGGAGUUCAAAUCUCCCCCCCGCCACCA